UUUUUUGUUUUAUUUUUAAAUGUAAUGAAAAACAAUGUAAUUUUUCUCUGUUUUGUUAUUAUUUAAAAAAUAUGUGUAAUACUUCUUAAUUGAGAUGUUAGAUGUAUCGGGAAUUAUAUAUGUACAUAUUAAUAUAAAUAAUUGAAAGUAACUUUUUUACAGGAUGACAUAGUUAAAAAUUUGGAUCAAAUUGGACAUCAAUUAAUAAUUAUAUCGGCUGUACAAAAAACUACAGAUAAUUUAUUUGUAACGUGGCCAACAACGAAGUUUGGUGAAGCAGCAGAAUUUAUACACAAAGCAUAUCAUAAGGAAGCUAAAUUGAAACGUAAAUUACUGGAAAACGUUUCUCACAAUUAUACAAAAUCCUGGAAGAUGCUUCAUCUUGCGGCAUGGGCAUACGAGCCUUUAAUAACAGAAGAUUUAACAAUUUUAUUAAAUUCAUUACUUAUUGAAACUUGUCAUAAAUGACAAAUUCCAACAUUUUAUUUUUUAUUUUUAUAAAAUUAUAUAUCAAUAAAAGACGUAACAGAUUG